AUGUGUGUGUGUGUGUGUGUGUGUGUGUGUCACAGGUGUGUGUUCUUGCUCCUCCUCGCUCUCGCUGCAGUUUCUCUGGCAGCUCCCCUCCCAGAGGACGAGACUGCGACAGGAGAAACUACAGAUGUGUCAGCUACUGUAGAGCCAGAUUCUGCUGAGGACUUUGUUUCUGAAAGCCAGAGUGAUCUAUCAGAAGAUUCUGCUUCCGAAGGCCAAAGUGAUGUAUCAGAAGGUUCGGAGGGGUCACCUGAGGUUUCUGAGGAACCAGACACUGAGGAAGAUAAAGACGAAGAAGAUGGUGGUGAUGAUGAUGGUGAUGAUGAUGAUAGCAACAGCAAGCUUGAAGACAUAAAUGAGGAAGACUCAACUGAACCUACCGAAGAGGAGGUAACAGAAGUCAGUGACACAGACAGUGACGCUGACGCAGACGGUGACGCAGACCCAGACAGUGACGCAGAUGCAGGCGCAGACAGUGACGCUGACGCAGACGGUGACGCAGACGGUGACGCAGAUGCAGACAGUGACGCAGAUGCAGGCGCAGACAGUGACGCAGACGCAGACGGUGACGCAGA
ensembl:lncRNA